rnacentral:rRNA from 1 species
UACAGAGGGUGCAAGCGUUGCUCGGAAUCAUUGGGCGUAAAGGGCAGGUAGGUGGUCUGAUUUGUCUGGAGGUGAAAGCCUUGGGCUUAACCCAAGAAGUGCCCCGGAAACGGUCAGACUUUGAGUCUUGGAGAGGGUUGCGGAAUUCCCGGUGUAGCGGUGAAAUGCGUAGAGAUCGGGAGGAACACCAGAGGCGAAAGCGACUUCCUGGACCAGUACCGACGUUCAGGCACGAAAGCGUGGGGAGCAAACAGG